rnacentral:lncRNA from 1 species
CUUACAAUCAGAAUGAAUUCUAGCAGACAGAUUCUCCUCUUACUUUGUCUCAGGCAGAGAAAUCAGUCACAAUAGGUGGAAAUUAGAUCUUUGUCUUUGCUUUUCGUAAAGAAAUGUGAUUGCCUGCCUUCCUCAAUUUGCCUUUAAUCCUGGAGUUCUACGUCCAAAUGAUACCACGAGAUUUGUCUUGUGUCCAUCUCACUGCUCUACAAUCUUCUGUGAUGGUGAAAUUCUCAGAUUCCUCUUGUGCCCUGAUGACAUCACAGAACACGGUAUCACAAACUGCGCCCUUCAAAUUACAAGUCUAUUUUGACCAAGACGUCUCUCCCUCCGUCCUGCCGUUUUCUUGUUCACUGUCCACGACUUGGUGUUUUCAGCUCGAGGUUGCACAUGCCACUCGAGAUUCGGGGAAGGUCCUUAGUGAUUAAAACCUUGUACAAUCAUCAGGGACAUAAGUAGAAGUAACUCGGUCCUCAGCAUCCAGUGGGAGGGGCAGAUAAAGCAUCUUGUCCCGUGAGUGUGUCUGAGAAAUGUUUACAGACAGAAAUUGGGGAUAGGAGAUCAUCCCCAAGAGAAGUGCGAGAAAAUUCAGUUGCCAGGAAGUAACGAAAGGAACUUUUUAAGUGUCUGGGAAGCACAGUAACUUUAACUCUAGACACUGUGGCUCUGCUUUCUAUUACUCUAAUCCCCUUAAGGCCUCACCUAUGUCUAAUACAUCUUUGGUAACUCCAAACCUAACUUAACCUAAUAACUUGGCAUAACGUAUAUUCAAUAAAUAUUUUCUGAGUUAAUAACA